GGAUUAGAUACCCGGGUAGUCCACGCCCUAAACGAUGUCUACUAGUUGUCGGGUCUUAAUUGACUUGGUAACGCAGCUAACGCGUGAAGUAGACCGCCUGGGGAGUACGGUCGCAAGAUUAAAACUCAAAGGAAUUGACGGGGACCCGCACAAGCGGUGGAUGAUGUGGAUUAAUUCGAUGCAACGCGAAAAACCUUACCUACCCUUGACAUGUCUGGAAUCCUGCUGAAAGGCGGGAGUGCUCGAAAGAGAAUCAGAACACAGGUGCUGCAUGGCUGUCGUCAGCUCGUGUCGUGAGAUGUUGGGUUAAGUCCCG
rnacentral:rRNA from 1 species